AGCGAACGCUGGCGGCAGGCUUAACACAUGCAAGUCGAGCGGGCGUAGCAAUACGUCAGCGGCAGACGGGUGAGUAACGCGUGGGAACGUACCUUUUGGUUCGGAACAACCCAGGGAAACUUGGGCUAAUACCGGAUAAGCCCUUACGGGGAAAGAUUUAUCGCCGAAAGAUCGGCCCGCGUCUGAUUAGCUAGUUGGUGAGGUAACGGCUCACCAAGGCGACGAUCAGUAGCUGGUCUGAGAGGAUGAUCAGCCACAUUGGGACUGAGACACGGCCCAAACUCCUACGGGAGGCAGCAGUGGGGAAUAUUGGACAAUGGGCGCAAGCCUGAUCCAGCCAUGCCGCGUGAGUGAUGAAGGCCCUAGGGUUGUAAAGCUCUUUUGUGCGGGAAGAUAAUGACGGUACCGCAAGAAUAAGCCCCCGGCUAACUUCGUGCCAGCAGCCGCGGUAAC
rnacentral:rRNA from 1 species